CCUACGGGCGGCAGCAGUGAGGAAUAUUGGUCAAUGGGCGGAAGCCUGAACCAGCCAAGUCGCGUGAGGGAUUAAGGCCCUGCGGGUCGUAAACCUCUUUUGCCGGGGAGCAGUGGUCCGGACGCGUCCGGACCGGGAGAGUACCCGGAGAAAAAGCAUCGGCUAACUCCGUGCCAGCAGCCGCGGUAAUACGGAGGAUGCGAGCGUUAUCCGGAUUUAUUGGGUUUAAAGGGUGCGCAGGCGGUCUGUUAAGUCAGCGGUCAAAGCCCGGGGCUCAACCCCGGCCCGCCGUUGAAACUGGCAGUCGCGAGUUGGAGAGAAGUAUGCGGAAUGCGCGGUGUAGCGGUGAAAUGCAUAGAUAUCGCGCAGAACUCCGAUUGCGAAGGCAGCAUGCCGGCUCCACACUGACGCUGAGGCACGAAAGCGUGGGUAUCGAACAGGAUUAGAUACCCCUGUAGUC
rnacentral:rRNA from 1 species